GAUGAACGCUGGCGGCGUGCCUAAUACAUGCAAGUCGAGCGAACAGACGAGGAGCUUGCUCCUCUGACGUUAGCGGCGGACGGGUGAGUAACACGUGGAUAACCUACCUAUAAGACUGGGAUAACUUCGGGAAACCGGAGCUAAUACCGGAUAAUAUAUUGAACCGCAUGGUUCAAUAGUGAAAGACGGUUUUGCUGUCACUUAUAGAUGGAUCCGCGCCGCAUUAGCUAGUUGGUAAGGUAACGGCUUACCAAGGCAACGAUGCGUAGCCGACCUGAGAGGGGGACGGCCACCCUGGGAAUGGAGCCCGGUCCCAGAUCCUAAGGGGAGCCAGCGUAGGGUUACUUUCCGCAUGGGCGAAAGCCUGACGGAGCAACGCCGCGUGAGUGAUGAAGGUCUUCGGAUCGUAAAACUCUGUUAUUAGGGAAGAACAAAUGUGUAAGUAACUAUGCACGUCUUGACGGUACCUAAUCAGAAAGCCACGGCUAACUACGUG
rnacentral:rRNA from 1 species